rnacentral:lncRNA from 1 species
GUAGAAUGUAUUGUACCUUUAACACCUGAUGUGUGCAUUCAUGUAACGGAAAGGGCAACAAUAAAAUAGCGAUCCUAAAGAAAGAGUAUGGCAGAAAGACCUCUGUAAGCACAGCCUUAUUUUCCUCUGUUGUCCAGAAUACUUACAAUUCUUGAGCCUCCCAGAAAUUGGAAGCUAAAUAAAGCAACUCGAGUUUCCUCUAUUUUGCACUCAGUGACAGUGACUGUGAUGAGGUCCGUGCACGGACGCUUAGCAUUUCCUACACGCCCUGAAUUCCGAGAGCAGGCAGGAAGCACCCCGAGCUAGGGAACUACCUCAGAGCACACAGACGGCCCAUGGCUGGCAGGAUUGCCCUUGAUAUCCUGGUGCAUGUGGGAGUGACAGGUUUGCAUGGGGCCUGAUGCUUUCUGAAGGGAAG